rnacentral:lncRNA from 1 species
CUCAUACAUAAAGUGUUGGCUAGAUAAUGAAAAUUAUCAAAAUUACAACCGAUUUAAUAACAUUAACAACAAAACCGCAUAAUAAAAUUAUCAAAAUUACUUUAAAUGAAUUGCUAGAAGUUUAUUGCUCAAUCUCCCUUGUAUCAUCGUCAUCAUCAUUCUGUUCUCUUUUUUCUUCAGAUGGAUUCAAUUAACCGAGCUGCAGUGACACCAAAUAAGAGUAGGUUGGCCUGCACUUUUGCCAAGGUUUUCGUUAUCUAGCCAACACUUCACCUUUCUCAGGGAGAAACUUGACGAGGCCAAUAAAGAAAACAAGUUGCUUGAGAAAAGAUUGAAUUUGAGUGGGGCAUUAUUGGCUAUUGACAAUCUUCACUUUUCCACCUUAAGCCCAAGCCAUUUUAUUACAGUUCUUAAGCAGACUAUUAAAACUAUUCAUUAUUGGCUGGGAUCUAGAUGCUGCUGCCAAUUGAAGCCUAAGUCCACAUUUGCAAAAUUUUACUGCACCAAGUACUUGCUACUUAUUCAUCCCAAGAUGGAAGCAUCUCUAUUCGGAAACUUGAAUCAGACAUUCGGUGGGAUCUGGAGAAAAGGGAUAAACUAAUACACCCAACAGAACAAGGAUAAAAAAAUUAGACAAUCAAACAUAGGGAAGGAGGGAUCACAAAUUAGACAAAAUUUGGGAAAAACUCGUAAAGAACAAACCCUAGAUUUCUUUCGCGACAAACAAAAAUUAGAGAGCAUCACCUUCUGUUGGCCGGAGUUUUGCAGGAAUCUUCCCUUCCGUAGCAAAUUUAUUCAUAGCGAGAGAGAUGGUUGGGAGAAUCCGUAACAAACUUGUUCAUAGAGAGAAAGAUGGUUGGGUUAGAGAGAAAAGUGGAUGGUUCAUCUCAGUAUAUUUUCAAAUUAAUUUGACCCAUUUAAUCCACCCACCCAAGAAGCCUAUAACCCGCG